CGAAUAACACGAAAGUAGCUUUACCCCUUCCUGCCAGAACCCCCGAGAGCUGGGAUACAAACUGGGAUUAGAUACCCCCCUAUGCCCUGCCCGAAACUUAAAUAUCUCAAUACAAUAGAUAUCCGCCAGGGGACUACGAGCGCUUUCUUAAAACCCAAAGGAUUUGGCGGUGCUUCAAACCCCCCUAGAGGAGCCUGUUCUAAAA
rnacentral:rRNA from 1 species